AUCUUUUAAUCGAGAUUUUGCCUUCGGGUACAAUUGAGGACAGGUGGUGCAUGGUUGUCGUCAGCUCGUGUCGUGAGAUGUUGGGUUAAGUCCCGCAACGAGCGCAACCCUUGUGUUUACGUUGCAAACAGGUCAAGCUGUGCACUCUAGACAGACUGCCGUGGACAACACGGAGGAAGUGGGGAUGACGUCAAAUCAUCAUGCCCCUUAUGAUCUGGGCUACACACGUGCUACAAUGGCCGGUACAACGGGCAGCGAAGGAGCGAUCCGGAGCGAAUCCUAAAAAGCCGGUCCCAGUUCGGAUUGCAGGCUGAAACUCGCCUACAUGAAGUUGGAGUUGCUAGUAAUCGCGAAUCAGAAUGUCGCGGUGAAUGCGUUCCCGGGUCUU
rnacentral:rRNA from 1 species